UACGUAGGAUGCAAGCGUUGUUCGGAAUUACUGGGCGUAAAGAGUACGUAGGCGGUUUGAUAAGUCUGCUAUUAAAGACUGGAGCUUAACUCCAGGACUGUAGUGGAAACUGUCAGACUAGAGGACAAUAGAGGAAGUCGGAAUUCUCAGUGUAGCGGUGAAAUGCGUAGAUAUUGGGAAGAACACCAGUGGCGAAAGCGGACUUCUGGGUUGUUACUGACGCUGAGGUACGAAAGCGUGGGGAGCAAACGGG
rnacentral:rRNA from 2 species